rnacentral:tRNA from 1 species
GGUAAAAUGGCUGAGCGUUUNAGUGGUGGGUUGUAGCCCCAAAUACAGAGGUUUAAGUCCUCNUUUUACCA